GACGAACGCUGGCGGCGUGCUUAACACAUGCAAGUCGAACGGAAAGGCCCUGCUUUUGUGGGGUGCCCGAGUGGCGAACGGGUGAGUAACACGUGAGUAACCUGCCCUUGACUUUCGGAUAACUUCAGGAAACUGGGGCUACUACCGGAUAGGAGCUCCUGUUUCAUGGUGGGGGUUGGAAAGUUUCGGCGGUUGGGGAUGGACUCGCGGCUUAUCAGCUUGUUGGUGGGGUAGUGGCUUACCAAGGCUUUGACGGGUAGCCGGCCUGAGAGGGUGACCGGCCACAUUGGGACUGAGAUACGGCCCAGACUCCUACGGGAGGCAGCAGUGGGGAAUAUUGCACAAUGGGCGGAAGCCUGAUGCAGCAACGCCGCGUGCGGGAUGACGGCCUUCGGGUUGUAAACCGCUUUCGCCUGUGACGAAGCGUGAGUGACGGUAAUGGGUAAAGAAGCACCGGCUAACUACGUG
rnacentral:rRNA from 1 species